rnacentral:lncRNA from 1 species
CCCCUGCUGCCCCUCAGAGCAGAGACCAAACUCCCCACGCGUGCUCUGCAGACGCUUAGCCGGCUGCCACACAGCCCCCCAGGGAGGGCAGCCAGACAAGGCAAGGAGGGGGCUCUCCUGGCCCCUCAGCACCCCAAGUGUCCACAGGUGAGCACAGCCUGACAUCUCCCCACAGCCCACUGAUCCAGAAAUCUCCAGGAUGGAGACACGGGCUGGAUGGCCCUGGCUGGGGCAGCAGGACAGGGUCGAAAGUCAGCGGCCACCCUCAGGGGGCCCGUUCUCCGGGGUCGCCUGGGGAGCAGUGUCUGUUCAUAACAGCUGAGUCGGCUGCUUUAGGACCAGGGCUCAGGCGCUCCAGGCGGCUGACGGAGAGCUUUGUGCCCCUUUCAAAGGCGCCAGACGCACCCAACCCUCCCACGGCCCGCCCGGCCUUCCGGCUCCUUGCCCAGAACCUCAGUCCAGCCUGCGGGGCCUGGAGGAGGAGGAAGCUGCCCGCUCACGUGGGAAGUCGCAUUUGGGGAUCAGAACGGGGGCUUCCCGGGAUGGAUGCUAGGACGUGGCAGAUAAUAGGGCUUGAAGAGACCCCAGGGCCACCACGGAGCCCCGCCCACCCCAGAAGAAGGUCCAGAGGAGCACAGAGCCCAGGCGCGGUGGGCAGGGAAGCCGGGCCCAUGGUCUCGGGGUCGGGGGAAAGCAGGACUCUGUGGGGCAUGAAGGAACCACCAACAGACCGUCAUCGCCACAGGAUUUGGGGCCGCUGAGGUCCACCUGCAGUGAGUGAGUGGGACCUGAGGGGUGAGUCUGGCAUGAUCAAAAUGAAGCAGGCUUGUUCCAGGAGGGUAAGUAGAAAAGUCACCCCGUCACCCCCAGAAUGCCAGUGUGAUGCUAAGGGGAACGUGCUUGACCCAAAACGACUUUACUUCCAGGGAAAGGCCGUCCGUAACCAUGACGACACCUGCCCGCCGACCGCACCGGUCCCCGUCGCGCUUCUAGCGGCUGGCUGCAGAGCCAAGGCGGGGUGGCAUCGGUCAGGACACCAGCGGGGUGCCCCGGGACACCGCUCCCCACGGCGGCACGGAUCCCCACUGGAGCAGCCUGUGCCAGCCCAGCGUGUGCAUGGGAAGCCCCAGGACAGCUCCACGGUCCUGCGCCCUAAGGACAGAGGGGUCAGACCGCACGGCCCUGCCGGGGGAGGACAGGAAGGAAGGGCUGCCCCCCCUCCCGCCCCACAGUGGUGCACGGGGUGGGCAGAGCUUGCAGGCACGGAGCGGUCUUCUUUCAACUUUGAUUGCCCCCACGGUUUUCCGGAAGGCCGCAUCCUCCUCUCUCGGCUUCGGAGGAGAGAAGGCAGGAGGAACAGAGCCUCGUGUGGGCUGCUGGGUCUGGACUGGGGAUGCUUCUGCUGGAAAGAGGGCCAGGGAGGAGGGCCAGACACGGACCUGACAGGUCAACACGCGCACGUCCAGGACAAAGGGGGUUUUGGAACAAGUAACAUCCGGCGAACAGGUAACCUCCCACGCUAG